CCGGCCUCCGCGGCGCGCCCCGCGCCCAUCCCACAAUGCACCGCGGGCCCCAUAGCGCCUGCGCAGUGGCAGCUCGAUCGCCAAGACUGCGCGGCCAUAGCAACGGACGCGAGCGGAGUGAUGGAAACCACCCGCUUGGUCUCUAGCUGGGGAAGCCUGAAGUCAGGCUGAGAUAGGGUGGCUCCCAUUAUUAGUGCCCAUGGCACAGUGUCAAGGACUUAGUUAGGCCCUGGCUUGUGGGACAGGGGCUACACUAAGCUAUCCCAGAGGCGCAGCCUCCUUCUGGGGCUUAGCCUGGCUGCUUAGCAGGUAGCUUAUUUUCCCUGAGAUUCAUUUCUUUUCCUGUAGUGCAGGAAUAAUAACGAGCCAGGACGGUGCGGGGGAGGGGGGCGAAAUGGUGUCACCAGGACAAAGCCCUGCUCCAGCCCCAGGUGCCUGUGAUUCUGCCCCACCCUCUCAUACUGCUGCUGAAACCCUUUCGGCAGUUUGGAAGCGCCACGGUCUGCUUUUGGUUCUUCUAAUGAAUGCCUUUACCGAGGCAAUGAAUAUUCCUGUCUCCUAUCUGAAAGCUUUUAUUGCACCGUCUGUUGAAGGAAUUUACCAUCCGUGAGUGGGGAAAAGGUAUAGAGACAACCAAUCGCAACCAAUCUCUUAUCUAUAAACACAGAACUGUGUUCUUAACUUCUUUGCAGGUCCCUGCCACAACCUCCAAUAAAUAUUUAUUAAACAG
rnacentral:lncRNA from 1 species